GAUGAAGAACGUAGCGAAAUGCGAUAAGUAAUGUGAAUUGCAGAAUUCAGUGAAUCAUCGAAUCUUUGAACGCACAUUGUGCCCCCUGGUAUUCCGGGGGGCAUGCCUGUCCGAGCGUCAUUACAACCCUCAAGCUCAGCUUGGUAUUGGGCCCCGCCGCUCCGGCGGGCCCUAAAGUCAGUGGCGGUGCCGUCCGGCUCCGAGCGUAGUAAUUCUUCUCGCUCUGGAGGUCCGGUCGUGUGCUCGCCAGCAACCCCCAAUUUUUUUCAGGUUGACCUCGGAUCAGGUAGGGAUACCCGCUGAACUUAAGCAUAUCAAUAAGCGGAGGA
rnacentral:misc_RNA from 1 species